GAUGAAGAACGUAGCGAAAUGCGAUAAGUAAUGUGAAUUGCAUAAUUCAGUGAAUCAUCGAAUCUUUGAACGCACAUUGCGCCCGGCAGUACUCUGCCGGGCAUGCCUGUUCGAGCGUCAUUUCAACCCUCAAGCCCUGCUUGGUGUUGGGGUCCCACGGCCGCCGUGGGCCCUGAAAGGAAGUGGCGGGCUCGCUACAACUCCGAGCGUAGUAAUUCAUUAUCUCGCUUAGGGCGUUGGGCGGCGCUCCUGCCGUUAAAGAACCAUCUUUAACUCAAGGUUGACCUCGGAUCAGGUAGGAAUACCCGCUGAACUUAAGCAUAUCAAUAAGCGGAGGA
rnacentral:misc_RNA from 1 species